GAGGUUAAGCGACUAAGCGUACACGGUGGAUGCCUAGGCAGUCAGAGGCGAUGAAGGGCGUGCUAAUCUGCGAAAAGCGUCGGUAAGGUGAUAUGAACCGUUAUACCCGACGAUACCCGAAUGGGGAAACCCAGUGUGUUUCGACACAUUAUCAUUACAUGAAUACAUAGUGUAAUGAGGCGAACCGGGGGAACUGAAACAUCUAAGUACCCCGAGGAAAAGAAAUCAACCGAGAUUCCCCCAGUAGCGGCGAGCGAACGGGGAAGAGCCCAGAACCAGCAUCAGUUUGUGUGUUAGUGGAAGCGUCUGGAAAGUCGCACGGUACAGGGUGAUAGUCCCGUACACAAAAAUGCACAAGUUGUGAGUUCGAUGAGUAGGGCGGGACACGUGACAUCCUGUCUGAAUAUGGGGGGACCAUCCUCCAAGGCUAAAUACUCCUGACUGACCGAUAGUGAACCAGUACCGUGAGGGAAAGGCGAAAAGAACCCCGGCGAGGGGAGUGAAAUAGAACCUGAAACCGUGUACGUACAAGCAGUGGGAGCCUACUUUGUUAGGUGACUGCGUACCUUUUGUAUAAUGGGUCAGCGACUUAUAUUUUGUAGCAAGGUUAACCGAAUAGGGGAGCCGUAGGGAAACCGAGUCUUAACUGGGCGUCAAGUUGCAAGGUAUAGACCCGAAACCCGGUGAUCUAGCCAUGGGCAGGUUGAAGGUUGGGUAACACUAACUGGAGGACCGAACCGACUAAUGUUGAAAAAUUAGCGGAUGACUUGUGGCUGGGGGUGAAAGGCCAAUCAAACCGGGAGAUAGCUGGUUCUCCCCGAAAGCUAUUUAGGUAGCGCCUCGUGAACUCAUCUUCGGGGGUAGAGCACUGUUUCGACUAGGGGGCCAUCCCGGCUUACCAACUCGAUGCAAACUACGAAUACCGAAGAAUGUUAUCACGGGAGACACACGGCGGGUGCUAACGUCCGUCGUGAAGAGGGAAACAACCCAGACCGCCAGCUAAGGUCCCAAAGUCAUGGUUAAGUGGGAAACGAUGUGGGAAGGCAUAGACAGCCAGGAUGUUGGCUUAGAAGCAGCCAUCAUUUAAAGAAAGCGUAAUAGCUCACUGGUCGAGUCGGCCUGCGCGGAAGAUGUAACGGGGCUAAACCAUGCACCGAAGCUGCGGCAGCGACGCUUAGGCGUUGUUGGGUAGGGGAGCGUUCUGUAAGCCGUCGAAGGUGAACUGUGAGGUUUGCUGGAGGUAUCAGAAGUGCGAAUGCUGACAUAAGUAACGAUAAUGCGGGUGAAAAACCCGCACGCCGGAAGACCAAGGGUUCCUGUCCAACGUUAAUCGGGGCAGGGUGAGUCGACCCCUAAGGCGAGGCUGAAAAGCGUAGUCGAUGGGAAGCAGGUUAAUAUUCCUGCACUUGGUGUUACUGCGAAGGGGGGACGGAGAAGGCUAGGCUGGCCGGGCGACGGUUGUCCCGGUUCAAGCGUGUAGGGGGUGUGACCUGGUAAAUCCGGUUGCAUAUCAACCCUGAGGCGUGAUAACGAACCACUACGGUGGUGAAGUAGCUGAUGCCAUGCUUCCAGGAAAAGCCUCUAAGCUCCAGGUAACACGAAAUCGUACCCCAAACCGACACAGGUGGUCAGGUAGAGAAUACUCAGGCGCUUGAGAGAACUCGGGUGAAGGAACUAGGCAAAAUGGUGCCGUAACUUCGGGAGAAGGCACGCUGGCGCGUAGGUGAAGGGACUUGCUCCCGGAGCUGAAGCCAGUCGAAGAUACCAGCUGGCUGCAACUGUUUAAUAAAAACACAGCACUGUGCAAACACGAAAGUGGACGUAUACGGUGUGACGCCUGCCCGGUGCCGGAAGGUUAAUUGAUGGGGUCAGCCGUAAGGCGAAGCUCUUGAUCGAAGCCCCGGUAAACGGCGGCCGUAACUAUAACGGUCCUAAGGUAGCGAAAUUCCUUGUCGGGUAAGUUCCGACCUGCACGAAUGGCGUAAUGAUGGCCAGGCUGUCUCCACCCGAGACUCAGUGAAAUUGAACUCGCUGUGAAGAUGCAGUGUACCCGCGGCAAGACGGAAAGACCCCGUGAACCUUUACUAUAGCUUGACACUGAACAUUGAGCCUUGAUGUGUAGGAUAGGUGGGAGGCUUUGAAGCGUGGACGCCAGUCUGCGUGGAGCCAACCUUGAAAUACCACCCUUUAAUGUUUGAUGUUCUAACUCGGCCCCGUGAUCCGGGGUGAGGACAGUGUCUGGUGGGUAGUUUGACUGGGGCGGUCUCCUCCUAAAGAGUAACGGAGGAGCACGAAGGUUAGCUAAUCACGGUCGGACAUCGUGAGGUUAGUGCAAUGGCAUAAGCUAGCUUGACUGCGAGAGUGACGGCUCGAGCAGGUACGAAAGUAGGUCAUAGUGAUCCGGUGGUUCUGAAUGGAAGGGCCAUCGCUCAACGGAUAAAAGGUACUCCGGGGAUAACAGGCUGAUACCGCCCAAGAGUUCAUAUCGACGGCGGUGUUUGGCACCUCGAUGUCGGCUCAUCACAUCCUGGGGCUGAAGUAGGUCCCAAGGGUAUGGCUGUUCGCCAUUUAAAGUGGUACGCGAGCUGGGUUUAGAACGUCGUGAGACAGUUCGGUCCCUAUCUGCCGUGGGCGUUGGAAGAUUGAGAGGGGCUGCUCCUAGUACGAGAGGACCGGAGUGGACGCAUCACUGGUGUUCGGGUUGUCAUGCCAAUGGCAUUGCCCGGUAGCUAAAUGCGGAAAAGAUAAGCGCUGAAAGCAUCUAAGCGCGAAACUUGCCUCGAGAUGAGUCUUCCCUGUGGCUUUAAGCCACCUGAAGGGACGUUUAAGACUAAGACGUUGAUAGGCUGGGUGUGUAAGUGCAGCGAUGCAUUGAGCUAACCAGUACUAAUGACCCGAGAGGCUUAACCUUACAACACCAAAGGUGUUUUUAGAGACUUGAAGUAGAUUUUCAGCUGAAGUUCCGAGAUUGGUUCGUAGUGCAAGCCUGAUGUAGGGUGAGCG
rnacentral:rRNA from 1 species